rnacentral:lncRNA from 1 species
GUUUUUGGAAAAAAUUUUGGGAAGCCUAACCAGAACAACUUUUUGAAGAAAAAGGCACGGGAACCGCUAGAUUCUCUCCUCUUUGGUUCUUGGUUUUAAAAAAACCAGAACGAACGAUCAGUACUGACUGAUCAUUUCAUUAUGUACAAACCAUGUAAAUUUCAUCACACACACACCAUAAUCUUGCACCAGUAAAAUAAUAUGCAAGAAUAAUUUACAUGUUUUCAUGACCUUCUCGCACAAAAAAAGAACAAUCUACGAGAGGAUCCAUGGAGACCUGACCCGAUCAGUCCAUGGCGGCGGCGGCGGCGGUACUGCAGGAGCCGGACGACCGGAUGACGCCGUCCAUGAAGGCNNN